GAUGAACGCUGGCGGCGUGCCUAAUACAUGCAAGUCGAGCGAACAGACGAGGAGCUUGCUCCUCUGACGUUAGCGGCGGACGGGUGAGUAACACGUGUAUAACCUACCUAUAAGACUGGGAUAACUUUGGGAAACCGGAGCUAAUACCGGAUAAUAUAUUGAACCGCAUGGUUCAAUAGUGAAAGACGGUUUUGCUGUCACUUAUAGAUGGAUCCGCGCCGCAUUAGCUAGUUGGUAAGGUAACGGCCUACCAAGGCGACGAUGCGUAGCCGACCUGAGAGGGUGGUCGGCCACCCUGGAACUGAGACACGGUCCAGACUCCUACGGGAGGCAGCAGUAGGGAAUCGUCCGCAAUGGGCGAAAGCCUGACGGAGCAACGCCGCGUGAGUGAUGAAGGUCUUCGGAUCGUAAAACUCUGUUAUUAGGGAAGAACAAAUGUGUAAGUAACUAUGCACGUCUUGACGGUACCUAAUCAGAAAGCCACGGCUAACUACGUG
rnacentral:rRNA from 1 species